UGAAUCUCUCGGCCUCGCACCAGAGGAGCUGGAGCGUAAGAUAUCAGACGCUAUAGCUACGGUAACAUGUGAAGGGGAUAAAGACAGCGAAAUGGAGAAAAUCCAUAACUUUGACUGCAAAUGCUACGGAAGAAGAAAGGACAACUCUGUCAUUGGGACACAUUCAUGCAGCGACAAACUUUCUCCAGAGCCUAUGUACAGCAUACGGUUGGAUUCUCUAGCUGCCGAAAGAGAGUGGCAGGACAUGCGAAUAAUUGGACAUCUCGAGGCAAACAGACGCACAGUAGUUACUUCGGACAUGACUACAUCCACCAAAAAGCCCCAGAUGAAGAGAAAGCGCCCCCGGACCCCUUAUUCCAUCGGAGGCAAUGAAGUCUGCAGGAAUACUUUUCAGUUUCUUAUGGGAAUUGGCGAAGACACCCUGACUGAUAUAAUCAAACACUUUGAGGAGAAUGGGGCAAGACCACGGUUAAGGAAGAAGCACUCACAGCCACGGCCAGCCAGGUUCAUCAGCCGCAGCAUUAUCAACGGAGUUGUGGAAUUUAUAAAAAACUAUGCAGAAGACAAUGCCAUCAUGCUGCCUGGCCGACAUCCUGGGCAUAGGGAUUGGCAUGUGAAGUUGCUGCCAACCCAUGUGUCUAAGGCCUCAGUUUGGCGUCUCUGCUAAGGAGCUUGGUAUGUGUAAAAAUGUAUUUCGAAUUGAGUGCUUGUAAUGUGAAGCACUAUUAGCAAUUGUAGGACCUUGUCCUCGUCUUCCUCUACAAGAGACGCUUUAUCCGUCUCUUAAUUCAACAAUCAUCAUAUUGUUUUGAUUAUGUUCCACCAGGAGAGGUUUCAAGGCCUUCUUUCCCUUUGACCUUUUUGAGCCAGGAGGGGAGGUGAGACUGUGGCGCUGACAGUCUCCUGCACAGAGAGUCUGGUUCUUUUCAGAUUCUCAGAUGGGAUCUCUAGGUGUCAAUUUGUUUUAUCCUCUUUAACAGAACACUGACUUCUCCACAGAUCAGAACGACACUACACUCGGGUUUUGGGAAACGCUUGUUGUUCUACAAAAGAUGGGUUAAUAAUUAAGUGCCUUUUUAGUUGUAAAUCAGGAUACAUAGCCCUGAAAUGUGUUUACAUCUCUUUUGAACUGACAGGUCCACGUCCAGAGAAAAACUCCUCUGAAAUCCACAUCUGGUCUCCUGUUACUCCUUUUCCCCUUUCCUUUAAGGUGAUUUAUGAGGUCCAUUUGCUAGUGGACAUUCAAUAGAUAGCAGAAACAGCAUUUGCACUGAUAUAGAUUUAGUUCUAAAUUAGUACUAUUGUAAAAUUUCAUUUUCUCAAAAUUAACAGAUUGCCAUCCAACAUGACAAGGUCGCAAAUGUAAUGUUUGUCUGAUGUUUCUGUCUUCAGAUUGGACUAAGUUACAAAAUCAUGUGUAAAAUGUCUGAAUGUUUGAUGGAGCCACAGUGCCACCUUUUGGUAAGAUUCUGGUAUAGCAUAAGGUAUUUUCAAUCACUUUAUUAAAUGUCCCUUGACGGGCGAUUUGAUUUGCAGCAGACACACGGCAAGCGUUACUGUACAAUAAAGUGCAUAGAGAAUAAGUGGCCUAAUAAUAGUGCAAAUGCAGAAUAGCAGCAAUAUAGUAAUCUGUAUCUUUAUUUAUUAGACAGUUAUGAACAGACACAAAUGUCUUUCAUUUAAUCUAAUCUCCUUUCCCUCUCU
rnacentral:lncRNA from 15 species